UCUCUCUCUUUCUUUUCAAACAAACACCAGAUCUCUAUGCAACCCUUCAAAAUAAACACCAGAUCUCUUUCUCUCUCUCUUUCGUUUGAAAAUUUCAAACACUCUUCAAAAAUUCAAACACACUUCAACAUGUGAUCUCUUUCUCUCUUUCUUUUCAAAACUUCAAACACACUUCAAAAAUUCAAACAUACUUCCACAUGUGAUCUUCACCUCUCCUAGAAGAAAGAACUUACACCCAUUUCCUGGAAUUUUCACAACAAAUCAUACAAAACGAUUUGGUGUCUUCUGGUUCUUCCACUUAAACGACUUGCGAGACUAAAAAGGGGGAAAAAGGUAUCUACCACCAAAUUGGAAAAAAAGUCUUAAAGAGAAACUAAUAAGUAUUUAAUCUCAAAUUAUUAUUACAUUAAUUUGUAUAGUUUGUGUUUAUGGUUUUCUUUGUAACAUUGUGGAAAUGUUUUGUUUUAUGUAUGGUGCUAUGGGGCUGGUGCUAUGGUUAUAUAUCUUAUUACCUGGUUAUAUAAAAAAAACUUUUGGGCUUUAUUUUUAUUUAUAUGUACAAAUGUGAAAUGAGACAAAAAAAAAUGUCUAUGUUGUAGCA